rnacentral:lncRNA from 10 species
CUCCUGGGAGGGUUUAUAUGUUAAGCUCUGUCAGUAAUUUCUCCCCUAGCAAGAAUGAGGAAGAUGAAGAGCUCGGGUAUCUGAGGGCUGGUGUGUCUGCAUGCGUGUGUGUUUUGGGGGCCGACUGAAGGAAGAGAAGGCUGGAGAGAGGGAACAUGGGUCUGAGGGCACAUCGCUAAGGGGUCAAGAGGCCUAAAGGAGGAGUCUAAGGCUCUCCAUCGAACUUGGACUUGGUCUACAUUAGACUUUAACCUCCAUGAGGCUUGGACUUUCAGGCUUCCUCCCUCACACCGCGGGCAGGUGAGGCGUCUGCUACAGGCCUGGUCUCGCAGAGGGGGCCCAGCGCCCCCCGCCGCCGCCUUCUCCUGGAGUCUGUGUGACAGAAUGGGACCUGUGGGAAAGCAGCACGUCAGCACCCAGCCCCGCUUGCGCGCCAGCAGCUAAUUAAAGCCAGGAAGGUGAUGGCGAUUUUCAACUCAUUCCCGUUACAAACAGCCGACCUUCCUACCGAGUUCAAGUACCUUCUGCCUGGCCUGGAAGAACAAUAUCUCUCUGUCUCCCUCUUCCACUGGCCCUCACCUGCCUUCCCCUGAACAUGCAUUUUGCCUGACAGGAGACAGAGGCAGUUGAGAUGGAGUCUUGCUAUAUGGCCCAGCUGGUAAUGCCUAGAUUCUUGAGUCCCUCCCUGGCUCAUCCCUGGGAGCAGCACUGAACCCCUUGUCUGACACCUGUCUGGAAAUGGAGCCUGCACAUUGACCCUAGAACAUACAAGAGGAGGCCCAUGUUGAUUCAGAGGAUGAAUGAGAGAUGCUUGCAGCUUGGUCCAGGAGGCCAGCAGGACCAGAGAGAAGACCACAGCGACACAUGGGGAUGGCUGUCCCACAGGCAGAAAUGAGCAGCCGGGAGGAAGCCCAGGCAGCCAGCCACCCAGCUCCCUCCACAUCGUGGCCCUAGAACGGAGUCUUGAAGAAUAAGAAGCCACAGCUUGUCAGGGAAUCAGGCUGGAAAAAUGUUAUGAGACUGAGUAAGACCAGAGAUUCCUCAGCAGUGCCUGGAGAAGACCAGGAGAGGAAGCAGAAGACCCUCCUCAAAGAAGCAGCCUUCACCUCCAGACCUCCCAGCGGGACUUAGACAAUGGGGUUAGGCAGUCACAUGUCUGCACGUGGAAACUUUCUGGGACUGUGCUUGGAUCCUGGCUCUGCCUUUUACUAGCCAUGUGACCUUGGGAAAAUCACUUGACUUCUCCGUGCAGGAUUCCUCAUCUGUAAAAAUGGUCUAAGAUUAGGAGCCACCUCAAGGUUGUUGUAGGAAUUAAAUUAAUUCAUGUUUAUAAAGUGCUUUGAACAGCGUUUGGCACAUGGAGAAUUAAAUGAGCAAACGGAAGAGCAGCAACCCUGAGUUACAUUUCUCAAGACACCGGGGCUCUUGAUGGCACAGCAGCAGCUUGCUAGAGCUUGGUAAAGAGACUUGGGCCUGGUACCUGAAGGGCAAUUCCUUGGCCAUGACAUUGUAGGGAAAGACCUCUAUGGGUGUUGAAAAGACAAGGCGAGGACAAGAAGAGUUGAAAAGGAGCUGUUCUGAAGCCACCUGGCUGUGGAUGGAGGAAGCCACAUGUAGCUUAGGUAGCCUGCUAUUGUAAUUUUUUCUGCAACUGAAGAAUUCGAAAUGGGUUUGGUGGGUAGCGAAGGGCAGAAUCUGGCUUCAAGGUGACAGAGUUUGCAUAGAGAUGGCCUUCUUGAGCAAAGGUAGUGACUCCUACAUUUUUUUUUUUUGUAGAGUUGUGAUACCCAUGAGUUAGUCAGCUUGGGCUAUCAUAACAAAAUACCACACAUUGGUUGGCUUAAACAACAGAAAUUCAUUUUCCUGUAAUUCUGGAGGCUGGAAGUCCAAGAUCAAGGUGACGACAGAGUUGGGUUUCCUCUGAAGCCUCUCUCCUUGGUUUUCAGAUGGGUGUCCUCUUGCUGUCUCUUCAUGUGACUGUCCCUCUGCAUGUGUGCCCCUGGGGACUCUUUCUUAUCUUAUAGUGACACUAGUUCUAUUGGAUUGAAGUGUACCCAUACGACCUCAUUUAAACUUAAUUACAUAUUGUAAGGCCCUAACUUCAAAUACAGUCACAUCCUGAGGUACUGUGUAUUAGGGCUUCAACAUAUAAAUUUUGGGGCAAUCCAGUUCAGCCCAUAAAAUCCCUUUUUGGUUGCUUGAUUCUGUUUAUUUGGUGUCAUGCCUUCCUUUUCCUAAAGAACUUCAUGAAUAGAAUUACUUUCUAAGUGAAAGGAACAAAACUGAUUUUUAUUAAAAAUUAUUUUGAGAUGCUUGUGACAAAUUUUGAAGUAAGUGAAGAUUUUCCUGGAGCUUCUACAAAAUCCUGGCUGAGAAUCCCUGCUUUCUGGACAGUUGAGAAGGAAAUACACUUAGUACAGCUGUUAGAGAGAUAUAGUUGCAACCACUGAGUGCUUAUUAUCUGCCAACUUAAAUAUAUUGCCCAAGGGAAUAACAAAUAUUCUAGUGUUCUUGUUAAGUAUAUUGUCUAAGGUCACACAGCUCUUAAACAACAGCUUCAGGAUUUGAACCUGGAAUCUAUCUGACUCCUAAGUCCAGAUGCUGUUCACCACAUUAGGUUGAAGCAUGGCCAGUGUUCAUAACAUACAACUAUGUCUCCAUAUCUUUUGCUAACCAAUGUUCUUGUAUGUGCAUACCUUACAGGGCAGCCAUUCACCACAAGCCCUACUAGAUGGCUUCCUGUAAUAAGGGUAGAACAGUAGUACUCUCCUUUUGAGAAGUUAUUUGUAAUUUUGUUGGUGGGCUGACAUUUAGGCCCUGCUCUCCAGCCCCAGAGGGGAUCCCAUAACCUAGAUCAGGCCAAUGAUGAUUAUCUCCGUGACUGUAGUGGCUGGUCCAGCGGGGAGGGUCAGGCAGGUAAGCUGGCCCAACCUGAGUCCUUCUUGAGGAUUUUAGAAACUGAAGGUAGGAGAGAAAAAUUCUCUCUUUUCUUCUGGGGAACGGGAUGAAGGUGGUGGGUAGGCAGAGCUGUUGGGAUGUGGAUCCAGGGAUUCUGGAAGUCCUGUCCUCCACCAUGUAAAGAAUACAUCCUGCAGAAGGAGAGAAGGGAGCCAGCACACAGAGAAGCAGAGUCAGGAGAUGGAGAAGGAGAAUCCUGAGAGCCUGAAGGUCCCUGGGUCCAGCCAUUGUCAAGGCCGAGUUCUACCGUCCUUAAGUUGUUUACCUUUCUUUCUUGCUUGCUUCUGUUAGAAGAUGAACACUCAAUGAAAAAUCACCAAACAUCUGAGGAAAGCCAUCAAAAUGAAAUAAACGAAACACACAAGUUCCUAAACACAAGUGAACAGCGUGGGCUGGGUUUUUGUCGCUUGGAACUGGAAACGCUGACGAUAAUGCUGACCUCUGAGCAGACCCACGUGAGGGGCAGCUGUGGUGUGGUGUGAUGAUGCUGGGAUAGGCACUCAGAUGGUUGAGUCUGAGUUUGGCUCUGAUAUUAUAUCAACUGCAUGGGCAGCUGUGGUGUGGUGUGAUGAUGCUGGGAUAGGCACUCAGAUGGUUGAGUCUGAGUUUGGCUCUGAUAUUAUAUCAACUGCAUGGGCAGCUGUGGUGUGGUGUGAUGAUGCUGGGAUAGGCACUCAGAUGGUUGAGUCUGAGUUUGGCUCUGAUAUUAUAUCAACUGCAUGGGCAGCUGUGGUGUGGUGUGAUGAUGCUGGGAUAGGCACUCAGAUGGUUGAGUCUGAGUUUGGCUCUGAUAUUAUAUCAACCGCAUCAUUUUGGGGAAGACACAAUUUCUCAGAAUUUUAUUUAGUUGUAAAAUAAAGAUAAUGAUAUUACAUGCUCUGUCUACCAUCUAGAGUUUUUGUCAAGACAAAC